AUGGUUAGGAGUGUACCGAUUGGUGAGAAGCUCUUCAUAGGAGGAGACCUCAAUGGCCACGUGGGUACAUCUAACACAGGUUUUGAAGGGGCGCAUGGGGGCUUUGGCUAUGGCAUCAGGAAUCAAGAAGGAGAAGAUGUCUUAAGCUUUGCUCUAGCCUACAACAUGAUUGUAGCUAACACCCUCUUUAGAAAGAGAGAAUCACAUCUGGUGACUUUUAGUAGUGGCCAACACUCUAGCCAGAUUGAUUUCAUCCUCUCGAGAAGAGAAGAUAGGCGUGCGUGCCUAGACUGUAAGGUGAUACCUGGGGAGAGUGUUGUACCCCAGCAUAAGCUGGUGGUUGCUGACUUCCGCUUUCGGAUUCGUGUCCAGCGGGAUAAGCGUGCCAAGGUCGCUAGAACGAAGUGGUGGAAGCUCAAGGGGGAGGUAGCUCAGGUGUUCAAGGAGAGGGUAUUUAAGGAGGGCCCUUGGGAGGAAGGAGGGGAUGCGGACAAUGUGUGGAUGAAGAUGGUGACUUGCAUUCGUAAGGUGGCCUCGGAGGAGUUUGGAGUGUCCAGGGGAAGGAGAAGCGAAGAUAAGGAUACCUGGUGGUGGAAUGAUGAUGUCCAGAAGGCGCUUAAAGAGAAGAAAGAUUGA
rnacentral:rRNA from 1 species